UUGAAAAUCAUCCAAAUGGGGUAUUCUUACAGCCUAAAAACAAUAAGCCAUUCAGGGUGGAAGACUACCCAAUGUUUAUACCCUUCUUGGACCUUAAAAAAUUAGCAUCGCAUCGUUAUGGAUAUGUAAUUUCACGAAUUAAAGUAUAUGCUGUGGGGGCACCUCUGAAGACAAGGGACAAGAACAAGGAAAUUGAACCACCAUACCUUAACAUCUCGGGCCAAAAGACAAGGUAUAAAUCUUUCACUCUGAAAAUUAAACUUUUCUAUAUGUAAUUUGUAAUUUAUUUUCUUGGUUUUCAGCUAUGAAUGUGCUAUCUACGUAAUGAAGUGGCUUGAGAUAUUUCAGCCCGCAAACAUUAAAAGGCGGAAGUAUGAGUGGGACAAUUAGACCCAGGACGAGGUGGACCACUUUAGAGUAGAAUAUGCUUCCCGGAUUCUAUUCCAUGAAAUGAAUCAAGACAAAGCUGAAGCCAUUAGGGGAAGUAAUGCAAUAAGACUAUCCAAGCCAUCCUCAUUGUUAUUGAGUCCAUAUUGUCAGAUAGAUUCUAAGGAUA